ensembl:lncRNA
UAAUUAUUAACAGAAGAUGUGGAGAUAUAGAAGAAACUAGAAAAUAUUUCACAAUCAACACAUCUUUCAGGCAGCCAAUCAUUUGUCACUCAUAUUGCUUUUUCAAACCCGGCAUUACAUGGAAGGAGUAAAUGGAACUCCAGUUUGGUUUUGCUGCUUCUUUUUUUUUUUUUUUUUUUUCUGUUAAGGCAGAUUUUAAUUUUUUGUUGUUUACUUUUCAUUGAAUUUUGUCAGUUCUUGGUCAAAUAUAUGUAUGUGUGUGUUUUUUAAAGAGGUCAUGCCUGUUUCUUUAAUGAACUAGAAGUAUAUAUUAUAGAAUGUUAGAAUUGAAAGGGACCCCGAAGAUGAUCUAGUUCACCCUUCCCAUUUGACAGUUGAGGAAACACCUUGUUUGGCAUUUAUUUACUUUAGGGGAAGUUGGGGCACUGCCAAAAUUAACACUGCCUGCUUUGACUUUUCACUGCUUGACAGACAAACACUAGGUUGGGGGAUAUAGACAAACAGAGACUAAAACAAGCAACAUUAUGCCAUCGGCCAUCAAUCUGGUUGUUGUGUUAUUCUUCCCCAAAAUAAUUUCAAGUCAACUAUAGACAUAGACACUUGAAUUGUAUUAAUUAAUUUAUUAAAUAAAAAUGGCUGAUAUUUUGCUUAUUAAAAAUCUGAUUCUUUCUUUGGCACCUGGUUGGAUAAGCAAGUCAAAUGUUAACAACCUGAGUACAAUAGUCUAUUACAAAACAGUGAAUCAGCGCCCUCUAGCACAUUUCUGAGUCACUACUUUUUAAAAAAACCUUUACAACAAUGUAACUGAAACUAAAACAUUCUAAACACUGUGCUGGGCUUUUCAUACUAUCUCAUUUUUAAUUCUCAUAAAGUUGUACAACAUAACUUGAGACAGCUCUGUAAGUAGAUAAAGAUAAUAUGCAGUGUAGUGAGGGCUGCUUCGUGUGUGGGAAGAGAGCUGUGGGCAGAGAGCAGCUGACUCUACCCAGGGAAGCAAUGAUGAAUGAGAAAAGGCCCUGAAUCCCUGGGAGCUCCCAGCAUAGUAGGAGAGACAGAUCCCUGGAAAGGAACGUUGCAAUAGGCAUGUCAAGAACUAUUGCACAGUUAUUUCUUUUUAAAUGGUAUGAGAGAAAAAAAAAAAAAAAGAAA